UACGAAGGGUGCAAGCGUUACUCGGAAUUACUGGGCGUAAAGCGUGCGUAGGCGGUUGUUAAGUCCGUUGUGAAAGCCCUGGGCUCAACCUAGGAAUUGCAGUGGAUACUGGCGAGCUAGAGUGCGGUAGAGGAUGGUGGAAUUCCCGGUGUAGCGGUGAAAUGCGUAGAGAUCGGGAGGAACACCCGUGGCGAAGGCGGCCAUCUGGACCAGCACUGACGCUGAGGCACGAAAGCGUGGGGAGCAAACAGG
rnacentral:rRNA from 1 species